rnacentral:rRNA from 1 species
GUGGGGAAUAUUGGACAAUGGGCGAAAGCCUGAUCCAGCCAUGCCGCGUGUGUGAAGAAGGUCUUCGGAUUGUAAAGCACUUUAAGUUGGGAGGAAGGGUAGUAACCUAAUACGUUGCUACUUUGACGUUACCGACAGAAUAAGCACCGGCUAACUUCGUGCCAGCAGCCGCGGUAAUACGAAGGGUGCAAGCGUUAAUCGGAAUUACUGGGCGUAAAGCGCGCGUAGGUGGUUCAGCAAGUUGGAGGUGAAAUCCCCGGGCUCAACCUGGGAACUGCCUCCAAAACUGCAUGACUAGAGUACGGUAGAGGGUAGUGGAAUUUCCUGUGUAGCGGUGAAAUGCGUAGAUAUAGGAAGGAACACCAGUGGCGAAGGCGACUACCUGGACUGAUACUGACACUGAGGUGCGAAAGCGUGGGGAGCAAACAGGAUUAGAUACCCUUGUAGUCC